rnacentral:rRNA from 1 species
AUUGAACGCUGGCGGCAGGCCUAACACAUGCAAGUCGAGCGGAUGAAGGGAGCUUGCUCCUGGAUUCAGCGGCGGACGGGUGAGUAAUGCCUAGGAAUCUGCCUGGUAGUGGGGGAUAACGUCCGGAAACGGGCGCUAAUACCGCAUACGUCCUGAGGGAGAAAGUGGGGGAUCUUCGGACCUCACGCUAUCAGAUGAGCCUAGGUCGGAUUAGCUAGUUGGUGGGGUAAAGGCCUACCAAGGCGACGAUCCGUAACUGGUCUGAGAGGAUGAUCAGUCACACUGGAACUGAGAAACGGUCCAGACUCCUACGGGAGGCAGCAGUGGGGAAUAUUGGACAAUGGGCGGAAGCCUGAUCCAGCCAUGCCGCGUGUGUGAAGAAGGUCUUCGGAUUGUAAAGCACUUUAAGUUGGGAGGAAGGGCAGUAAGUUAAUACCUUGCUGUUUUGACGUUACCAACAGAAUAAGCACCGGCUAACUUCGUG